CUGCCCGGAAACGACCACUGUGAGGCGAACAGAAGUACCCGAAGGAAGACGGGGGCACUAAAAAUUGACACGGGGCGGAAAAUAUUUGGCCGACCAUAAUCCGCAAAAACUGAAGCGGAAAACGGACUGUGAAGGGCGGUUUCGUUCGAAGUCUUUCGCCGUGAGUGUUAUCGCGCGAGCCCGAACGUUAGCGAGCGCGGCCAGCGGAAACUGGGGUUUGUUUAACGGAUCGAAAGCGAUGGAGAGGCCUGCGAGAGUGUUUUUCCACGGGAUGAGGAAAAAUGACCUGCUAACCUGAAAUCGGAAACCGCCUUUGUGCACAUCUAGGCUUUCGGCGCCCUUUUCAGCAUUAUUAUUUUCACGCUUUGCUCUUCAAGAGGACUUUCUCCGUGCACGAGCAGAGGGAUGUGACUGGAAAAGGUAUUUCGGCUCUCCCCCUCUCCCUCAUCCCCUUUACGGUCAGCGUAUCCCGGAGAACAAUCCGCGCUUUUCUUACAACAUUUUUGGGACUGACAGGGUGCUCGCUGCAGAGAAAGAAGGAACCUCUUGGUCAUACCACUGUGCUUUGUUCAUGGUCUUCCAGCUGAGGAAUUAAAGACAGAGGUUGGAUAUACCCUGUGGACUAUCUGACAUUUGACUCCUUAAUCUGAAUGAUUGGAAAAAAAGUUGCCCAUCAAAACCUCUUUUUUUAAUGAAGACAUUUUUCUGAAGAAAAAAACAGUGGGACCAUUUUAUUCAGAACUUCUCAAAAGGAAUAUACUAAUAACAAGACAGAAAGACAUUCCCUCUUUGCUUCAAUUUUAACUGGCUUUCAACACUAAGUGAUUUGCUUUUAAUGCUUAACACAUUUUGAUGCAA